UCUGCCAGAUAGUUAUUCUUUUGGUAAUAGAAACACUAACCUUUUUUCUCCCUAGGGAUUUAUUAGUAAGCACGUGUAUUCUUUGGCAAAAGGGAACCUGAAAAUGCAUUUCCCUGGGGACCUGGCGCCAGUCGAUGCCUUUCAGCCCGCGGCUGACCUCGGAGACACAGAAAAGGGAGAGACAGCCCUGCCCCUCCAAGGCCACCCUGCAGGCUUUGUCUACCAGGCACUUCCUCCUCUCUCCCAGGAAGCACGUGUGACUCUAACACUCCCUUGCGCUCCCACGUUGCCUCUUGGAGAUUCUGGGGGAGAAGGCGGUUUUGACUUCUGCGAUUGGAAGAUGCUCUCCCAGACGGCAGAGGGGUGUUGCUUGGCUGGCAGUGGGCACACAGGCUGGCCACUGCCCAGAUCCCCUGGCUGUAGGGUGCCAGGGUUGGGAGAGUCCUCCAACACCCCUGAGCACCACUGCACUCAUGGGGAGACUGAGGCACAGACAGGCUGUGCAUUCCCAGGUCGCUCUGCUUGCCCCUGGACCAAGUAUCCAACCUGGAAAGUCCUCCCAGUGGAAACAGGCAUUCUCUCAGCCUCCCAGCACAGGGAGGAAUAGGAAAGGGCCGUUCUUAGAGCCAGCACAGUGCUUGGCACAUGGAAAGCACCUGGUUAACUUUGCUAGACUAAAGAAAAAUGAUUCUCCAAAGCCCCUUAGUGAGGGCCCCCACUCAACCUCUCCUUUCCUCAGAAGCCUGGCCUCCACCGACUAGAGGCCAUUCUCUCUGGAGCAGGAUGCUCCUUUGUCCUAAGAGCUGUGCUUCCCAGGUGAGUACCACUCCCCUCCAUUGGAUACAGACGAAGUGUCUGCAUCCUCACAGCCUAGCAUGGUGCCUGGCCCAUGGCAGACUCUCAACAAAACAUGUGUUCCCUCCCUUCCAAUGAGAAAGAGACUCUUUUUCCUUCUGGAAGCAGACUACCUAGAAAUGAAUUCAAGUUUUUGAAAACUGUUCACAGCCAGUGUCAAGUUCAGGGCCAGUGUCAUAGCCAGAGCCCCUCAACAAAGGCUAGGAGGAUAUACACAGAGGCUAAAUGGUGCUGAGUGGGGCAGACGUCUGGGCUCUGAACAGUUAACCUGGGAAAUUGGCACAGAACAGAGGAUGUGCUGGGCUUCCCCUGUGGCUCAGCAGUAAAGAAUCCUCCUGCAGUGGAGAAGUUGCAGGUUCGAUCCCUGGGUUGGGAAGAUCCCCUGGAGGAGGGCAUGGCAACCCACUCCAGUAUUCUUGCCUGGAGAAUCCCAUGGACAGAGGAGCCUGGUGAGCUACAGUUCAUAGGGUCACAAAGAAUCGGACACGACUGAAGUGACUUAGCAUGCAUGCACACAGAAGUUGUGCUAAACAUUCACACCUUUGAUGCUGUUGUAAUUAUUAAAAUCAAAUCAGAAGAGUCCCCUUCCUCCCUGCAACCGGGCCCCUGUCAGAUCAGGGAUAUUUCAGCUGCACCGAAGACUCUGUGGGCUUCCUUCCUUCUUCCCUCCGGAGCCUGAGACAGAACUCUGGCUCAGCACUGGCUAUCUGAGGAUGUGAGGGGCCCGGAAG
rnacentral:lncRNA from 1 species